AACCUCCGCAAUGUGAGAAAUCGCGACGGGGGGAUCCCAAGUGCCAUUCUUAACGGGAUGGCUUUUCAUUAGUGUAAAGAGCUUUUGGAAUAAGGGCUGGGCAAGACCGGUGCCAGCCGCCGCGGUAACACCGGCAGCUCUAGUGGUAGCAGUUUUUAUUGGGCCUAAAGCGUCCGUAGCCGGUUUAAUAAGUCUCUGGUGAAAUCCUGUAGCUUAACUGUGGGAAUUGCUGGAGAUACUAUUAGACUUGAGACCGGGAGAGGUUAGAGGUACUCCCAGGGUAGAGGUGAAAUUCUGUAAUCCUGGGAGGACCGCCUGUUGCGAAGGCGUCUAACUGGAACGGUUCUGACGGUGAGGGACGAAAGUUAGGGGCGCGGACCGGAUUAGAUACCCGGGUAGUCCUAACUGUAAACGAUGCGGACUUGGUGUUGGGGUGGCUUUGAGCUGCUCCAGUGCCGAAGGGAAGCUGUUAAGCCCGCCGCCUGGGAAGUACGGUCGCAAGACUGAAACUUAAAGGAAUU
rnacentral:rRNA from 1 species